GGGAUGCUGUGACUCUGUGACCCUGCACUGCGGGUCCCAGCACCCCCAGGAUGUUCCACAGGAACUGCAGCUUGUCCUUUUCGGGCCGAUUUCUGAAAAACCCCUGGCUCUUGUGCCGGGCUGCACCUCCCGUCCGGGUACCCCGGGCUGACAGCGGGGCCGCUCCGGUCCCUCCCGCGGGCUCUGCCCGCUCGGAGCAGCAAGGCCGGCGAUGGGGAGGGGUUCCCGGGGGGCAGAGCCCGUCCCGCGGGGCUGCGGGGGCGUUUCUAGGCAGGCUCCGCGCUCAACAGCCCCGUCGCUGGGGCAGCGGGCAUUCCCAGCCCGGCGCUGCGGCAGACAGCCCUGUUGCUACGGCUGCGGGGCCUUCCAGGCCGGACCCCGCGCGGCGCGGCCCCUGUCGCCAUGGUAACGGGCCCUUCCGGUGCGGGCGGCGCGCAGCAUGGCGGUGCCGCUGCCGAGCGCGGCGCUGUGCGGCGUCCGGAGCGGGCGGCGAUCGGCACGGCCGCUGUGCUCUCUCAGGGCAGCCCCGCUGGGGCCGAUGCCCAAUGAGGAUCUUGAUGUCGGCAACUUAGAAGCGCUGGAAAAACCCCGCAGUCGCAGUCGGUGCUUGAGGCUGGCGGAGAAGGAGCAGGGAGCCGGCUGGGGCAGACGGCCCGGCAGCACAGCAGCCCCAGCCGGGUCCUCGCCCAGGGGGCUGCGCUGUGCGGGGUUUGGAGGUCAAGAAAGCUGUUGCUGGAGCUGCAUUUUGCCCCAAUCUGCGCCCUGGAAAGAGCUGAUGAGGGGCUUUGGCACAAGGUUGGCCCUUUUCUGAUGUGGAAGCUUGCAGAGUGCAAAUGUUUCAGGGAAGCUGAUGGCAGUUUUCUGGGAGGAGGGAGGCAGGCCAGGACCCGCCAAGAGACAUGGGAUUUAGGGAUAGGAAUUAGGAUUAGGGUAAGGGUUGGAUUAGUUUUAAGUUUAGGGGCUAGGCAGUAGUGUUAGAAGAGGUGGUUAGGUUUAGGUUUCAUAAUUCUGUUGGAGAUGGGGAUUCGGGUUGAUGGUUAGGGAGUAAUGUUGUUGUAAAUCGUUAAGAUUAGCAUAAGAGAUUAGGUUUAGGGGUGAGGCUAGAGUUAGGGUUAGGAUUCUGUUUAGAGGUUGGGUUAGGGUUAGAUUUCAGGUUAGAGUUAGGGUUGGGGUUGGGUUAGGUUGGUUUAAAGCUUAUGGUUAGAGUUAGGUUAGUGAUAGGGUUCUGGUUAGGUUAAGGUUAGGGUUUAGGUUUAGUGUUAGGAUUAGGGUUCAAGUUAGGGUUAGAGUUAGUAUUAGGGUUUAGGCUUACCAUGAAGGUUAUAGUUAGUGUUAGUGGUCAGCAUUAGGGUUACCAUAAGUGCUGGGUUUGUGUUAGGGAGUAGUGUUAAGGUUACUGGAACUAGGGGUUAGUUUCAGGGUUUAGGGGUUAUUGCUAGAGUUAGGGCGAGGUUUAGAAUGAUGAUUACUGGCUAGGGUUAGGGUUAAGGUUUAGGGCUGAGCUUUAGAGUCAGCUUUAGGGGGUUGGUGUUAGGGUUGGGUAUUAGGGAGAAGAAUUAGGGUUAGAUGUAAGGAUAAGAUUAUGGCUAGGAUAAGUGGUUAGGAUUUAGGGUUAGGGUUAUAGUUCCUUUUAGGGUUAGAUUAGAGUUAGUGAUCGGGUAGCGUUACCAGUUGGAGGAAAGGUUAGAUUUUGGGUUUGAUGUUAGAGUUAGAUUUUGGGUUGGGGGUAUUGUUAGUUUAGGGUUUGGAUUUCUACUUAUGUUAUGUUACUCUUACGGUUAGAGUUAGGGGUUUGUCUUAAAUUUUAGGAUUAGAUUUAGGAUUAGUAUUUGGGUUUACAUUUAGGCUUAAGUUUUAGGAUUUGGUUUAGGGUAAUGGUUGGAUUAGGGUUAGUGUUAGAGGUUCUGGAGUUUUGUUAAGGGUAGAGUUAAGUUUUGGGGUUAGAUUUAUGGUUAGAUCAGGGUUAGGGCAUUGAAUUAGUUUAGAGUUAGGGUUAGAGGUUGGUCUUAGAUUUAGCCUUUGCUUUAGGAUUACAGUAAGUGAUUGGACUAACAUUAGAGAGUUAGGUUUAGGGAUAGUUGUUAGGGGUAGGGUUAGGGUUAUUAUUAGAGUUUGAUUAGGAUUGGGUUUCGGGUUUAUGGGUAGGGAUGUGGUUAGUGGUAAGGGUUAGUAUUAGGGUUAGUGUUAGAGGUAAGGAUUAAGGUUAGGGGUUAGGGAAUAGUGUUAGUAUAAGCAGUUAGACUUCAGGUUUAGGGGGAAAGGGUAGGAUAUGGUUAAGGUUAGCACUAUUUGUAGGUAUUACAGUUAGGGUUAGGUUUAGGUUAGGGGUUAGUGUUAGGGGUCAGAGUAAGAAUUAGGGUUAGGGGUUAGGGUUAGAGGUCAGGUUAGGGUUACCAUUACAUUUUUUAUUAAAUUUAGGGUUAGAAUUAGGCUUAGAAUUUAGAUUUAGAGUUAAGAUUUGAGUUAAGGAUAGGGAUUAGGAUUAGGGUUAGGGUAAGGCUUGGAUUGGAGUUAGAUGUGGGGGUUAGGGAUUUGUGUUAUUUGAAUGGUUAGGUUUAGGUUUUAGAUUUAUAUUGAAGGGUUAGGGACAGGACACUGGGUUAGGCUUAGAGGUAGUGUUAAUGUUAUUUUCGGGAUAGGGCUUUAGACUUAAAGUUAGUCUUAGAAUUAUGGGUUAGGAUUUAGCAUUAGAUUAGAGAUAGGUUUAGGUUAGGGUUUAGGGUUAGGCUUAGAGGUUGAGUUAAUGGUUUGGGUUAGAUAUUAGGGUUGGGUUAGUGUUAAUUUUAGUAUAAGUGCUCAGGGUUGGUGUCUGGGUUCAUGGGCUAGGGAUAGAAAUGAGGCUAGGAUUAGAUUAGAGUUAGGUUUAGGUUUAAGGUUUGUUUUAGAGGUGAAUUUAGGGGUUAGGCAUAGAUUUCAGGUUAGAGUUAGGAUUAGUGUUGGGUCUGGGUUAGGGUUAGGUUAGUUUAGGGUUACCAUUGAGGUUAGGUUAGUGAUAGGAUUAGUGUUAGGUUAGGGUUAGAGUUUAGGAUUGGGGUUAGAGUUUAAGGUUACUGUUAGGGUUAGAGUCAGGGUUAGGGCUCAGUUUUUGAUUUAUGGUUAUGGUUAGUGGUAGGGGUUAGGAUUAAGGUUGAGGUAAGGGUUGGAAUAGUGUUAGGUUUUGGGGUUAGGGUCAGUGGAAGUGGUUAGGCUUAGAGGUUAGAUUUAUGGGUCAGGGACAGGGAUAGGGUUAGGGUUAUGUUUAGAUUUAGGUUUAUGGUUUAAGUCAGAGGUAGGGUUAGGGUUUGAGUUUGGACUUAGACUCAGGCUUUAAUUUAAGAUUAGAGUGAGGGUAUGGGUUAAGCAUUAUGGUUAGUUUUUUUUAGGGAUAGAUGUUAGGCUUACAGUUAGAGUUAGGUUUUGAAUAGGGUUAGGGUUUGCGGGUGGGAGUAGAGAUUAGGUUAGGGUUAGAGUUACUGUUAGGGGUUAGGAUCAGGGUUGAGGUUUAGCAAGUAGCAUUAAUGUAAGUAGUUAGGGUUUAGUUGUAGGGGUUAGGGGUAGUGAUUAGAGAGAAGAGUUAGGAUUAUAGUUAAGGAUAGGGUUAGGGUUAGCAGUUAUGACUUAGGGUUAGGGUUUCAGCUAGGGUUAGAUGAUGGUUAGGGUUAGAGUUGGCUUUACCAGUUGGGGGAAGGGUUAGAGUUAGGGUCUGGUGUUGCGGUCUUGGUUAGGGCUAGAGUUAGCGUUAGAUUUUAGGGUUAGACUUGGAGUUAGGGCUAGGAAUUACAGUUAAGGUUAGUGUUAGGGUUAAAGUUAGGGCUUAGUUUAAGGGUUAAGUUAGGUUUAAGAGUUAGGAUUGCAUUUAGAGUUAGGGUUAGCAUUAGGGUUAUGAUUUGGAUAAGGGUUAGUGUUAGAUAAGGUUUGGGGUUAGGUUUAGAUUAGGGUUAGGGAAUAGAGUUAGAGUCAGGGCAGGAUUAGAGUUCAGGUUAGGUUUAGGGGUAAGGGCGUAUGGUUAGUAUUUGAGGUUAGGCAUUUGAGUUAGGGUUAGGGGUUAGUUUUCAGGUUAGGGUUAGGCUUACUGUCAGGGUUAGGUUUAGGAUUAGGAGUUUCGGUUAGGCUUAGGGUUAGAAUUGGGGUAAGGGCUUGGGGUUAUGAUUAGAUUAGUUUUAGGUUAGUGUUAGGGUUGGUGGUAGGGGUUUAGUUAGGGUUAGGAGUUAGGGAGUAGUGUUAUUGUAAGUGGUUAGGAUUAGUGUAAGGGGGUAGGGUUAGGGGUGGGGAUAGGGUUAAGGUUAGAAUGAUGGGUUAGGGUUGCAGUUAGGAUUUGGGAUUAGGGGUUAGAGUUAGGUUUUGGGACAGGGGUUUGGGGUUCAGGUUAGAGUAAGGGUUAGGAUUGAGGAUAAGGGUUAGGCUUUGGGUAAGUGUUGGGUUAGUGUUAAGGGUUGGGGUUAGGGAGUAGUGGAAGUGGUUAGGAGUAGGUUUAGGUAUUAGGGUUAGAUUUCAGGUUAGGGUUUGGAUUUACAUUUAGGGUUAGGUUAGUGUUCAGGUUAAAAUUAGGGUUAGUGGUUAGUUUUGGAUUUACAGGUAGGGUUAGGUUUAGGGGUCAGGGUGUUGUGUCAGUGGAAGUGGUUAAGGUUAGGGGUAGUUUUAGGAUUUAGGGUUUGAGUUAGGGUUAAGUUUUAGGUUAGAUUAGAGUUAGGGGAUGGUGUUUACAGUUAGACUUAUGGUUAGGGGUUUGGACGAGGUUUACAGUUAGGAUUAGAUUUUGGUUUUACACUUGGUCUUUUUUUAGGAUUACAGUAAGUGUCUGGACUAAGUGUUAGGGUGAGUGUUAGGGGUCGGUGUUAGGGGGUAGGGUUAGGGUAGUAUUAGGGUUUGAUUAGGGUUACAGUUGGGUAUUAGUAGGUAGAGAUAUGGAUAGGGGUUAGUGGCACAGGAUAGAGUAAGAGUUAGUGUUAAGGGCUAGGAUUAGGGUUUAUGGAGUAGUGUUGAGGUUAGUGUUAGGGCUAAGGAUUAGUCUUUGGAGUUAGGGAAUAGUAUUAGUAUAAGCAGUUAGGGUUAGGUUUUAAUAUUAUGGGUAAAAAGGGUAGGACUAGGGUUAGGGUUAGAGUUAGGAUUAUGGCUAAGUAUUAGAGUUAGAUUAGGUUUAGAAAAAGGUUAGAGUUUAGGGUUGGAGUUAGCAUUAGGGGUUAGUUUUACGGUUUGGGUUAGAGUUAGGAUUAUGUUUUAGCUUUAGAUUUAGGUUAGAGUUAGGGAUGGGGUUAGGAUUAGGGUUAGGGUUAGUGUUAGGCAGUAGUGUUAGUGGAAUGGUCAGAGUUAGGUUAGGGGUUAGGAUUAGGGUCAGAGUUAGGGUUAGAAUUGGGGUAAGGGCUUGGGGUUACAGUUAGAUUAGUUUUAGGUUAGUGUUAGGGUUGGGGGUAGGGGUUUAGUUAGGGUUAGAGGUUAGGGAGUAGUGUUAUUGUAAGUGGUUAGGAUUAGUGUAAGGGGGUAGGGUUAGGGGUGGGGAUAGGGUUAAGGUUAGAAUGAUGGGUUAGGGUUGCAGUUAGGGUUUGUGACUAGGGCGUAGAGUUAGGUUUUGGGACAGGGGUUUAGCUCAGGGUCCCAGGGGGAUUUUGAGGUACCAAGGCCUGGAUGAAGAGCUCCCUUCUUGGUCGCACACAUCCCAAAAGACAGGGACACGUCUGUGCCUGAUCUGCCUGGCGCUGUCCCACCAGCAGUGGCAGAUGCGUCCUGGAGAGGAGUGGAGCUGCCAGGCACUGUCAGAGGAUCUCCCUGAGGUGCCACUCGCUGCCCACCCAGACUCACACCCUGUCCCUGGCUGUGACAGAUACAGCAGCUACGAGCUCUGGACACAGGACACAACAGUCCAACAGCAAAGACCAUCUCUCCUGUCCUGAAAGACUCUUAUGACCCCUGGAGCCCAAAGCCACGGACCACAUGAACUCAUUGGACAUUUCAGAGGCGUGGCCUAUAGACUGAGGAAUGAGAUCUGUGUGUAUAUCCAGAGAUAGGAAAAGUGCUGUUGAUUAACUGGAAUGUAUUGGAGAGUGUGGGACCCGGGCACAACACAGAUGGUACAGAAUAAGGGGGGGCACUGUCCUGGUUUCAGCUGGGAGAGAGUUAAUUUUCUUCCUAGUAGCUGGUAGAGUGCGGUGUGUUGGAUUUAAUCUGAGAAGAAUGUUGAUAGCACAGGGAUGUUUUGGUUGUUGCUAAGCCAUGUUUAUCCCAAACCAAGGACUUUUCAGCAAGGAGGCUGGAGAUGCACAAGAAGCUGGGAGGGGCACAGGCAGGACAGCUGGCCCAAGUGGCCAAAGGGAUGUUCCACACCAUAUGAUGUCAUGCUUGGUGUGUAAACUAGAGAAGAGUUAUCUGGGGGACCGCUGUUUGGGAUCUGGCUGCGUGUCGCUCGAUGGGUUGUGAGCAAUUGCAUUGUGCGUGACUUGGUUUAUAUCUCCUCUUAUUAUUACCAUUUUUGCAAUUACUACUAUUACUACUGCCAUUGUUAUUAUUAUAAUUACUAUUACUAUAAUUAUUUUAUUUAUUAUCACUAUUAUAUUUAUUGUAGCUAUUGUAGCUGUUGUAGCAAUGUAGCUAUUGUAGCUAUUGUUACUAUUGUUAUUGUUUUCCCUUUCUGUCUCAUUAAACUGUCUUCAUUUUAACCCAA